UAAACCAAAUAAAAACCAAUAUAAAAGUGUUGUGGCUGCAAAGACGAAAACUUAAAAACCAACCCCUGGAUAAGGUACGCCAAGAAAAAAAUGAAAAAGUGACCUUAUUACAUAAUUCCAUGUAUGUACUGUACAUAGGUUAUGAUCCACGUGUGGCAGGAAAUUGCUGACCUGGCCUGACCCUCGGUCUCGGAGGGGGUCCGCUCCAGUACCACGAUCAUCCGUCCCUCUUUUUGGUGCCACCGGACCUUGCCUGCAGGCGAAAAAACGGAUGGACUUGGCGAUCGGGACCGAGUUGUUUAUAUACAUAUAUCUCACGCGCAACUAUUAAACCAUCUGUUAUAUUAUAUCACCGCGCCUUGUGUAAAGAAAUGUUGGUGCUUGCAUAUGUAGGGUGUGGAAAAAUUAGCUCAGCGGUCAUUGCCCUUGCGGCUGACCAUACACCUAUAAAGAAAAUUGUUCAAUAAUAUUAAAUAUUCCUAGACAUUAACUUAGAAAUAGAAGAAGAAAAACAUGAAAUUUAUGCGUAGUUAAUAAUAGAUUCUAAAAGGGUGCCUGAUCGGUCUCAUUGUGUCCAUGGAAGGGUAUUGGUAAAAUACCUCUUCAUAACGCUUCUUGUUAUUUUGCAUAUUUCUACAUUUCUUUAACAGUUAGAACGUGAAAUUGGUUUAAAAGUCUGUAAGUAGACACACAUAUACACACAUACACUCCGGGUCAGGAGAAUAACGUCUACACAGUGAGACAUGCAUGCUUAACCAUAUAUAAAAUGAAUUAUUAUUAACUAUAAUCACUACAAUUAUGCCAUUUAAUUCAUUUAAUUAAUUAAUUCUUACUUUAUAUUUUGAUUAUAUUAUUUUUAUUCAUAUUUGAUCAUUCUCUUGAAUUCCUAUGUAUUAAAUUAGUCCCACAUAUAUAUACA
rnacentral:lncRNA from 1 species